AUCUACUAGUCAUAUGGAUUAGAGUUUGAUCCUGGCUCAGAGCGAACGCGGGCGGCAGGCUUAACACAUGCAAGUCGAACGGGCUUCUUCGGAAGUCAGUGGCAGACGGGUGAGUAACACGUGGGAACGUGCCCUUCGGUUCGGAAUAACUCAGGGAAACUUGAGCUAAUACCGGAUACGCCCUUUUGGGGAAAGGUUGACUGCCGAAGGAUCGGCCCGCGUCUGAUUAGCUUGUUGGUGGGGUAACGGCCUACCAAGGCGACGAUCAGUAGCUGGUCUGAGAGGAUGAUCAGCCACACUGGGACUGAGACACGGCCCAGACUCCUACGGGAGGCAGCAGUGGGGAAUAUUGGACAAUGGGCGCAAGCCUGAUCCAGCCAUGCCGCGUGAGUGAUGAAGGCCUUAGGGUUGUAAAGCUCUUUUGUCCGGGACGAUAAUGACGGUACCGGAAGAAUAAGCCCCGGCUAACUUCGUGCCAGCAGCCGCGGUAAUACGAAGGGGGCUAGCGUUGCUCGGAAUCACUGGGCGUAAAGGGCGCGUAGGCGGCCGAUUAAGUCGGGGGUGAAAGCCUGUGGCUCAACCACAGAAUUGCCUUCGAUACUGGUUGGCUUGAGACCGGAAGAGGACAGCGGAACUGCGAGUGUAGAGGUGAAAUUCGUAGAUAUUCGCCAAGAACACCAUUGGCCGAAGGCGGCUGU
rnacentral:rRNA from 1 species